rnacentral:lncRNA from 1 species
UCGCGCUGGGGCAGCCCCCGCAGCGCUUCGGGGGCCGCGCGCUCCCGCCAGGCCGGGGGGUCCUGCUCCAGCAGCUCCGGCUCCACGCGCCCCACAGACCCCUCAGACCCCCCCCCGGGCGGGGGGUCGCCCCCUCCGGGCCCCCCCGGCUCCGGGCUGCCCGAAAAAGGGGGGAGGGGGACAGGGUUAGGGUGGGAUUUGGGGUGGUGGACCCCAAAAUCCCAAUUUGAGGGGGGGUCUUACACUGAUUCUGGCUCAAAAUCCUGAAUUGGGGGGGGGUCUCGCACUGAUCCUGACCCAAAUAUCCCAAAUUGGGGAUGGGGAGGGGGGUCUCGCACUGACCCUGACCCAAAUACCCCAAAUAUCCCAAAUUGGGGGGGGGUCUCGCACUGAUUCUGACCCAAAAUCCUGAAUUGGGGGGGGGUCUUGCACUGAUUCUGGCCCAAAUAUCCCAAAUUGGGGAUGGGGGGGGGUCUCGCACUGAUUCUGACCCAAAUCCCGAAUUGGGGGGGGGUCUCACACUCAUCCUGACACAAAUCCCAAUUUGAGGGGGGGUCUCACACUGAUCCUGACCCAAAUUUCAAAUUGGGGGGGGUCUCACACUGAUCCCCAGGCGCCCCACAGACCCCUCAGACCCCCCCCCGGGCGGGGGGUCGCCCCCUCCGGGCCCCCCCGGCUCCGGGCUGCCCGAAAAAUGGGGAGGGGGACAGGGUUAGGGUGGGAUUUGGGGUGGUGGACCCCAAAAUCCCAAUUUGAGGGGGGGUCUUACACUGAUUCUGGCUCAAAUCCCAAAUUGGGGGGGGGUCUCGCACUGAUUCUGACCCAAAUCCCAAAUUGGGGGGGGUCUUGCACUGAUUCUGACCCAAAUCCCAAAUUGGGGGGGGGUCUCACAC